CCGGCGGGGUGCUAUACAUGCAAGUCGAACGCGUUGGCCCAAUUGAUUGAUGGUGCUUGCACCUGAUUGAUUUUGGUCGCCAACGAGUGGCGGACGGGUGAGUAACACGUAGGUAACCUGCCCAGAAGCGGGGGACAACAUUUGGAAACAGAUGCUAAUACCGCAUAACAGCGUUGUUCGCAUGAACAACGCUUAAAAGAUGGCUUCUCGCUAUCACUUCUGGAUGGACCUGCGGUGCAUUAGCUUGUUGGUGGGGUAACGGCCUACCAAGGCGAUGAUGCAUAGCCGAGUUGAGAGACUGAUCGGCCACAAUGGGACUGAGACACGGCCCAUACUCCUACGGGAGGCAGCAGUAGGGAAUCUUCCACAAUGGGCGCAAGCCUGAUGGAGCAACACCGCGUGAGUGAAGAAGGGUUUCGGCUCGUAAAGCUCUGUUGUUAAAGAAGAACACGUAUGAGAGUAACUGUUCAUACGUUGACGGUAUUUAACCAGAAAGUCACGGCUAACUACGUGCCAGCAGCCGCGGUAAUACGUAGGUGGCAAGCGUUAUCCGGAUUUAUUGGGCGUAAAGAGAGUGCAGGCGGUUUUCUAAGUCUGAUGUGAAAGCCUUCGGCUUAACCGGAGAAGUGCAUCGGAAACUGGAUAACUUGAGUGCAGAAGAGGGUAGUGGAACUCCAUGUGUAGCGGUGGAAUGCGUAGAUAUAUGGAAGAACACCAGUGGCGAAGGCGGCUACCUGGUCUGCAACUGACGCUGAGACUCGAAAGCAUGGGUAGCGAACAGGAUUAGAUACCCUGGUAGUCCAUGCCGUAAACGAUGAGUGCUAGGUGUUGGAGGGUUUCCGCCCUUCAGUGCCGGAGCUAACGCAUUAAGCACUCCGCCUGGGGAGUACGACCGCAAGGUUGAAACUCAAAGGAAUUGACGGGGGCCCGCACAAGCGGUGGAGCAUGUGGUUUAAUUCGAAGCUACGCGAAGAACCUUACCAGGUCUUGACAUCUUGCGCCAACCCUAGAGAUAGGGCGUUUCCUUCGGGAACGCAAUGACAGGUGGUGCAUGGUCGUCGUCAGCUCGUGUCGUGAGAUGUUGGGUUAAGUCCCGCAACGAGCGCAACCCUUGUUACUAGUUGCCAGCAUUAAGUUGGGCACUCUAGUGAGACUGCCGGUGACAAACCGGAGGAAGGUGGGGACGACGUCAGAUCAUCAUGCCCCUUAUGACCUGGGCUACACACGUGCUACAAUGGACGGUACAACGAGUCGCGAACUCGCGAGGGCAAGCAAAUCUCUUAAAACCGUUCUCAGUUCGGACUGCAGGCUGCAACUCGCCUGCACGAAGUCGGAAUCGCUAGUAAUCGCGGAUCAGCAUGCCGCGGUGAAUACGUUCCCGGGCCUUGUACACACCGCCCGUCACACCAUGAGAGUUUGUAACACCCAAAGUCGGUGGGGUAACCUUUUAGGAGCCAGCCGCCUAAGGUGACAGAUUG
rnacentral:rRNA from 1 species